rnacentral:rRNA from 1 species
UACGGAGGUCUCAAGCGUUGUUCGGAUUCAUUGGGCGUAAAGGGUGCGUAGGCGGCGCGGUAAGUCGGGUGUGAAAUCUUGGAGCUUAACUCCGAAACUGCAUUCGAUACUGCCGUGCUUGAGGACUGGAGAGGAGACUGGAAUUACGGUGUAGCGGUGAAAUGCGUAGAUAUCGUAAGGAAGACCAGUGGCGAAGGCGGGUCUCGUGGA